GACGAACGCUGGCGGCGUGCUUAACACAUGCAAGUCGAACGGUAAGGCCCUUCGGGGUACACGAGUGGCGAACGGGUGAGUAACACGUGGGUGAUCUGCCCUGCACUUCGGGAUAAGCCUGGGAAACUGGGUCUAAUACCGGAUAGGACCACUGCCUGCAUGGGUGGUGGUGGAAAGCUUUUGCGGUGUGGGAUGGGCCCGCGGCCUAUCAGCUUGUUGGUGGGGUGAUGGCCUACCAAGGCGACGACGGGUAGCCGGCCUGAGAGGGGGACCGGCCACACUGGGACUGAGAUACGGCCCAGACUACUACGGGAGGCAGCAGUGGGGAAUAUUGCACAAUGGGCGCAAGCCUGAUGCAGCGACGCCGCGUGAGGGAUGACGGCCUUCGGGUUGUAAACCUCUUUCAGCACCGACGAAGCGCAAGUGACGGUAGGUGCAGAAGAAGGACCGGCCAACUACGUGCCAGCCGCCGCAGUAAAAC
rnacentral:rRNA from 1 species